UACGGAGGGUGCGAGCGUUGUCCGGAAUCACUGGGCGUAAAGGGCGCGUAGGCGGCGCGACAAGUCAAUGGUGAAAGCCCGAGGCUCAACUUCGGGUCGGCCACUGAUACUGUUGGGCUUGAGCACUGUAGAGGCAGGUGGAAUUCCGGGUGUAGCGGUGGAAUGCGUAGAGGUCCGGAAGAACACCGGUGGCGAAGGCGGCCUGCUGGGCAGUAGCUGACGCUGAGGCGCGACAGCGUGGGGAGCAAACAGG
rnacentral:rRNA from 1 species